CAGCGCAGGCGCACUGUGGUCUCCACCUCGGCUGCAUCCGGGCUGGAGGUCCUCCCCGGAGGCGGGGGCAGAGUUUUACAGAUGGCUCCACUACCAGGGGCAGAGUUGGUCCAGAGUCCGCGGCAGCUUUACCGAUACCUGCUGCGCUGUUGUCGGCAGCUACCAACUAAGGGCAUCCAGGAGCAUUACAGACAUGCUGUCAGGCAGAGUUUCCGGGUUCAUUCAGAUGAAGACAACCCUGAGAGAAUCCAACAGAUUAUUAAAAGAGCCAUUGAAGAUGCUGACUGGGUCAUGACCAAAUAUAAAAAGCAAAACUGAGUCCAUGGCCCAAGGAGUGCAGCUGCCCUGAAGACACUCAAGCUGGGAGGCCUCUUCUCCCCUGGAACGUAUCACCAUAGCAUAGGGACUAGCCACUGACCCUCCCUGCUGAGAGCAGCAAGUCAGAAGCAAAAGACACAUAGGGAGUCCCAAUAUAGGAGGGUUCUGAUCUUCACUCCAGAUGUUCUUAUGGAAAGCUUUUCCUGUCUGGAGUGGCCCCAAAAGUUAUGCAGCUGGAUCCUGUCUUCAAGAAGGAAUCCUGGCAGUUCUGGGGCUCCUGGGUAUGUUCUCUUUGUCCUCUUGACUGAUAAAAAUGACUUGUACUUUUCCCAUUCCGCUCGUAUAGAUGAACCCAGGGUGAGAAGGAAAGAAAACAGGAAAAAAAUCAUCUUCUUUACCAGUGCCAAAUAGCAUAUCAAGAUGCAACAGUUAAAGGAAAAAAAUGACACAGGUUUUUUUUUUUUUUUUAAGACUUUUGUGUCUGAGGCUUUGAGGUCUCAGGUUCAGCCUUCCCCCUCCUUAAUAUUGUUUUAUUUAUUAUUGGGUUGAGACAGAGAAAUUGAGAGGAGAGAUAGAGGGAAAGAAACAGACACCUGCAGUCCUGCUCUACUGCUCAUGAAGCUUUCUCCUGCAGGUGGGGACCAUGGGCUUUGAACCCAGGUACUUGCGCACUGCAAUGUGUGCGCUUAACCAGGUGCACCACUGCGUGACCCCAAGACACAGGUUAUAAAGACAAAUGCUUAUUUCUGAUGUUAGAAGCGGGUACUUUCGGUUACAUUAAAAUGGCCCUAAGAGCAAGAGGAUAGAAUGUGGCAUCAGAAUCCUGGGCUGGCUCAUAUCCUGACCUGGGCACUCUGGUUUGUGACCUCAGGCGAGAUACUGCACUUUUCUGAGCCUCGAUGUCAUCAUUUGUAGAAUGGGCUAGAAAGUGAAUUAAUCCUUUCUACAGAGUUGUUAAGGAAAUGGUCACAUCAAAGUACAGACUGAAAUUUGUAGAUUCUUCCUCCCCCUCCUCAUCUGGUUCUCCUUCAUCUUGCUUCUCCCAUUUAUUUACUUCUCAGACCCCUUAACCUGUCCAAGCCUCAGAUUGCCAUAAGGGGCUCAAGGGCAGAGUUCACAGGUGUCUUUCCUUCAGGUGUAGUUCCUGGCACUGACAUCUCCCCUACCUCCAGAAAAAACAAGGAAUUCUUUCUGAAGGCAAUCUCUUGGCUUGCCUUUCAUCCCUUUUAUCUACCUUAUCAAGCUGGGGGUGAUGAAAUUCAGUGACCUGAGACACACACCUGUACUGUCAACUACCCUUUCCCUGGAAUUUAAUCAGACUGACAGACCAAUUCCUCAGGUUAUUGCAAUUGAGGAGCUCAGGACAUCCUGACUGACAUACCUGACUCACUUGUUGCAGCUUUUCUUGAUAUAACAAUUGCUUUUGAAUGUUUAUGUUUAUGCAGGAAAAGCACUGAAAAUUAUACUUUUAAAUAGGAGUUCCCUGUGGAGAAGUAUUUGCUUCCCUGGGAUUCAGCUGUCAUGUCAGAGACCAAAGGCACAGCUUUAUAGCAAGGAGCCUAAUGAAAGAAGCUCAGGGAAAACACCCAAAUGGAUGUGCCUUGUGGGACCCUGGGGACCAGUCCAGUUUCACGGUGAAAGAGGGAGGUCUUUCCAGGAAACAGUGCCAAUGAACUGGAAUAAAUAUUUUCUUUUCUUUUUCCUUUAUGGGGAGGGAUUAAUGGUUUACAGUUGACAGUAAAAUACAACAGUUUUUAUAUGCGUAACAUUUCUGAGUUUUCCAUGUAACAGUUCAACCCCCACUAGGUUCUCCUCAGCUAUCAUGUUCCAGGACCUGAACACUCCCUCCCAUCCCAGAGUCCUUUACUUUAGUGCAACACACCAACUCCAGUCCAGGUUCUGCUUUGUGUUUUCCCUUCUGUUCUUAUUUUUCAACUUCUGUCUAUGAGUGGGCUUAUCCCAUAUUCAUCCUUCUCUUUCUGGCUUAUCUCACUUAACAGGAUAUCUUCAAUCUCCAUCCAAGAUGGGGUGAAGAAGGUGAAUUCACCUUUUUUUUUUAAUUUUAAAAAAGUAAUAUUUUUAUUUUAGUUUAAUGACUCUGGACUCAACCACAGUCAGUCAGCCUCUGGCAGACGAAAAUGGAGUGAAUCAGUAUGCCAGCUGGGUGAGAUGGUGUGCUUCAGAGACUUAAACAUACUUUCUUGCAUAGCUUGUUUUUCUUUCCAGAAUGACUAAACAAAGUAUUGAGAGGUAAUAUGACAUAUUUAGUAGGAGAAAACAUUUAAAUCCAGGAAGUACAGAAAGGUCUCUGUCUGAACCUCUUUAUACCAGACUAGGAGAAAGAAACCAAGAAAAUAACAUAAUUUGCCUAAGGUCCUUUGGCUUUAAGAGGAUAAUAACAGGAGGACGGCCUGGCAUCUAAGGGGAUUUUAGGUUGUUAUCUGAUUUGCCAUGAUGAUUCCAAUUUCAAUUAUGCAUGAAACUGUCCAAAUGUCCCCAUCUUAAUAUUGAGUGUUGUACACAAUUUUACUGUCAAAUUGUAUUUCCAAAGAUAGAGAGCAUGGUAAGAGAUAACCUGCCUCCUAAUUCAGAACAGCAUUAGCAAGCAGAAAGUGGGACAGAAAGUUUACAGUGGUUUUUCCCUAUGCGGAAAUAUAAUCUCUAAAUUUAUUUACUUUGUACCAGUUUAUAGCUUUUUUUCAACACAUUCCAAAACAAACAAAAAACAAGGAGACAAUCCUCACUCCAACUCUUUUACUUUGAGUCUAAGUUUCUGGGAAUACAAUCAGUUGUUCCAUAUAUAUAUAUAUAUCCUUGAGAUAGCAUAUCAUGAGAAUAUAUCAUAAUACAUAAAACAGCAGGUCUACUUUGACCUGUAUAAUCUCAAGGAGUAUGAAUCUGAAACUACCUUUACAUAAAGUUAAAAGAAUCUUUUAUUAUUAUUAUUAUUAUUAUUUUGUUUCUUUUCUUUUUUUUAUUUGAAAAAAAAAGACAUUAACAAAACCAUAGGUCAUGGAACCUUAGGGUGGGGCGCACUUUCCUGCAUGCUUCUCUCAAUUCAUAUCAAAUAAUAUUGCAUCCGCCGAUCCCAACCUAAUCAACACAAUGAGUGCCACCUCAGCAUGCUUCACUUCAGACUGUGUCCAGAGACUUCAGGUGUGGAAUGACAACCCUUCAGCUUCAUUAUUCGGGUGAGACCUUUCCUUUCAUAGUAUUCUCUAAUUCCAUUCCAGGCGGUUCACCUCCUAACAAAGUCCCAAAACCUAGAUAUAGACCAGGUUCCGUGAGAGAGAGCAUAUGUUCACACGUAUCCAUAAACUAGGGCAAAAUAUAUACCUGAAAGCAAAAGUACACAAUAGUCUGCAGUGAGUGCCCCCCAAAACUUCAUCUGCGAUAUUCCAGCCUUUAGGUCCAUAAUUGUUCAACAAUUUGUUUGGCUUUGUAUGUUAACUCUCU